rnacentral:rRNA from 1 species
ACGAACGCUGGCGGCGCGCUUAACACAUGCAAGUCGAACGGAAAGGCCUGCUUUCCCUUGUGGAUUGCGGGUACUCGAGUGGCGAACGGGUGAGUAACACGUGAGUGAUCUGCCCCCAACUUGGGUAUAAGCCUGGGAAACUGGGUUUAAUUCCCGAUAGGACUGCAGGGUGGUGCCUGUGGUGGAAAACGAUUUUCUAGUGGUUGGGGAUGAGCUCGCGGCCUAUCAGCUUGUUGGUGGGGUAAUGGCCUACCAAGGCGGCGACGGGUAGCCGGCCUGAGAGGGUGGACGGCCACAUUGGGACUGAGAUACGGCCCAGACUCCUACGGGAGGCAGCAGUGGGGAAUAUUGCACAAUGGGCGGAAGCCUGAUGCAGCGACGCCGCGUGGGGGAUGACGGCCUUCGGGUUGUAAACUCCUUUCGACCGCGAGGAAGCCACCUGGUUGGAAGGGUGGUGACGGUAGUGGUAGAAGAAGCACCGGCUAACUACGUG